rnacentral:rRNA from 1 species
CAGCCGCCGCGGGAAUACAGAGGGUGCGAGCGUUAAUCGGAUUUACUGGGCGUAAAGCGUGCGUAGGCGGCUUCUUAAGUCGGAUGUGAAAUCCCUGAGCUUAACUUAGGAAUUGCAUUCGAUACUGGGAAGCUAGAGUAUGGGAGAGGAUGGUAGAAUUCCAGGUGUAGCGGUGAAAUGCGUAGAGAUCUGGAGGAAUACCGAUGGCGAAGGCAGCCAUCUGGCCUAAUACUGACGCUGAGGUACGAAAGCAUGGAGAGCAAACAGGAUUAGAUACCCCGGUAGUCCCUGUCUCUUAUAA